rnacentral:rRNA from 1 species
CCUACGGGUGGCUGCAGUGGGGAAUAUUGGACAAUGGGGGCAACCCUGAUCCAGCCAUGCCGCGUGUGUGAAGAAGGCCCUCGGGUUGUAAAGCACUUUCAGUGAGGAAGAACGCCUGGUGGUUAAUACCCAUCAGGAAAGACAUCACUCACAGAAGAAGCACCGGCUAACUCCGUGCCAGCAGCCGCGGUAAUACGGAGGGUGCGAGCGUUAAUCGGAAUUACUGGGCGUAAAGCGCGCGUAGGUGGCUUGAUAAGCCGGUUGUGAAAGCCCCGGGAUCAACCUGGGAACGGCAUCCGGAACUGUCAAGCUAGAGUGCAGGAGAGGAAGGUAGAAUUCCCGGUGUAGCGGUGAAAUGCGUAGAGAUCGGGAGGAAUACCAGUGGCGAAGGCGGCCUUCUGGACUGACACUGACACUGAGGUGCGAAAGCGUGGGUAGCAAACAGGAUUAGAUACCCUGGUAGUC